rnacentral:miRNA from 1 species
UAGCAGCACAUCAAUAUUGGUA